GGUGAGUAACGCCGUGGGAACGUGCCCCUUUGGUUCGGAAUAGCCCCGGGAAACUGGGAGUAAUACCGAAUAAGCCCUACGGGGGAAAGAUUUAUCGCCGAAGGAUCGGCCCCGCGUCAGAUUAGCUAGUUGGUAGGGUAAUGGCCCUACCAAGGCGACGAUCUGUAGCUGGUUUGAGAGGAUGAUCAGCCACACUGGGACUGAGACACGGCCCAGACUCCUACGGGAGGCAGCAGUGGGGAAUCUUGGACAAUGGGGCCAACCCUGAUCCAGCCAUGCCGCGUGAAUGAUGAAGGCCCUAGGGUUGUAAAAUUCUUUCAGCGGGGAAGAUAAUGACGGUACCCGCAGAAGAAGCCCCGGCUAACUCCGUGCCAGCAGCCGCGGUAAUACGGAGGGGGCUAGCGUUGUUCGGAAUUACUGGGCGUAAAGCGCGCGUAGGCGGACCAGCCAGUCAGAGGUGAAAGCCCAGGGCUCAACCCUGGAAUUGCCUUUGAUACUGUUGGUCUGGAGUCCGGGAGAGGUGUGUGGAAUUCCGAGUGUAGAGGUGAAAUUCGUAGAUAUUCGGAGGAACACCAGAGGCGAAGGCGGCACACUGGACCGGUACUGACG
rnacentral:rRNA from 1 species